GAUGAACGCUGGCGGCGUGCUUAACACAUGCAAGUCGAACGAUGAAGCCCAGCUUGCUGGGUGGAUUAGUGGCGAACGGGUGAGUAACACGUGAGUAACCUGCCCUUGACUCUGGGAUAAGCCCGGGAAACUGGGUCUAAUACCGGAUAGGAGCGCCUGUCGCAUGACGGGUGCUGGAAAGAUUUUUCGGUCAUGGAUGGACUCGCGGCCUAUCAGCUUGUUGGUGAGGUAAUGGCUCACCAAGGCGACGACGGGUAGCCGGCCUGAGAGGGUGGCCGGCCACACUGGGACUGAGACACGGCCCAGACUCCUACGGGAGGCAGCAGUGGGGAAUAUUGCACAAUGGGCGGAAGCCUGAUGCAGCGACGCCGCGUGAGGGAUGACGGCCUUCGGGUUGUAAACCUCUUUCAGUAGGGAAGAAGCGGAAGUGACGGUACCUGCAGAAGAAGCACCGGCUAACUACGUG
rnacentral:rRNA from 1 species